CAGAGCGUAGCUAAAUUAGAAUAGCAUUUCCCUUACACCGAAAAGAUGCCCGUGCAAGUCGGGCCGGACUGA
rnacentral:tRNA from 1 species